UCCUGCCCAGUGACUUUUAAGUUAAACGGCCGCGGUAUUCUGACCGUGCAAAGGUAGCAUAAUCAUUUGUUCCCCAAUUAGGGACUAGUAUGAAUGGCUAGACGAGGAUUCAACUGUCUCUUAUUCCCAAUCAGUGAAAUUGACCUUCCAGUGAAGAGGCUGGAAUAAAACAAUAAGACGAGAAGACCCUAUGGAGCUUUAAUUAACUAGCCUAAUUAUAAUACUCAAACCCUAAUGGAACAAAACCAUAAACAUUAAGCUAACAAUUUUGGUUGGGGUGACCUCGGAGAACAAAAAAUCCUCCGAAUGAUUAUAGCACAGACAAACAAGUCAAAGCAAUCCACUAUAUCUAAUUGACCCAAAAACUUUGACCAACGGACCAAGUUACCCUAGGGAUAACAGCGCAAUCCUAUUUAAGAGUCCAUAUCGACAAUUAGGGUUUACGACCUCGAUGUUGGAUCAGGACAUCCCAAUGGUGCAGAAGCUAUUAAAGGUUCGUUUGUUCAA
rnacentral:rRNA from 1 species